rnacentral:rRNA from 1 species
CCCUUAGAUGUUCUGGGCCGCACGCGCGCUACACUGAUGAAUUCAACGAGCUCCUAGCCUAGGCCGAAGGGUCCGGGUAAUCUUUGAAAUUUCAUCGUGAUGGGGAUAGAUUAUUGCAAUUAUUAAUCUUCAACGAGGAAUUCCUAGUAAGCGCGAGUCAUCAGCUCGCGUUGAUUACGUCCCUGCCCUUUGUACACACCGCCCGUCGCUCCUACCGAUUGAAUGGUCCGGUGAAAUGUUCGGACCGCGACAAGGCGGACGGUUCGCUGUCAGCUUUGCUGCGGGAAGUUCAUUAAACCUUAUCAUUUAGAGGAAGGAGAANUCGUANCA